ensembl:lncRNA
AUCAAGUCUGAGAGGGCCUGACUUAGUCUGAAAAUGUGCCCUCUACGCAACAGGAAGCUCUAUUCAUCCAUCGGAACCUUCUAUUGAAAAGGCCUGUAUGGCAGAUAGUCUGACACGUGAAAGAGUGAUCUAUGCAUGAAGUAUGCACGUCUACAAAUCAGAAAUGUGGUAUGCAGUGCACUCCUCCCUCAUCACGGCUCUCUAGUGUUCCCUCUCCCAGUCAGAACAACCCAGACGGGCUCUACUCCUCUUAUCAGAUGGAGCCAGGCAGGCAGGACAGGACGGGGCCAGUGUGGAUCCAGCUGCUCCCAGGAGCAGGGCGCAGUCCCACUUAAUAGGUCUUCCCGGCAUCCCAGGCCUCGCCCCACUGGCAUCCCAGUCACAGCCAGGCAGGCUACUCCGUGGGUGGCACGCCUUGGAAACAGGCGGCAGAGACAGAGGAGGUGGGUACGGGGGAGACUGGUAAAGACAACCCAGUCCGCCUGGUGUUCCAGAGAACUUUGCCGUUAGACCAAUUGCUUCCCGAGGACCAGUAAAAAGCAAUGGCUCCGACAUGGAGUCCCAUGACGCAUCAUGCUGAAUCUGAUCAGAACAUAUUGAGAGUUCAAAUGACACUUGCUUGAAUAUGCAGCUUGAGCUACAUCGAAAUGUUGUCAACGUUGAGCGAGUUUCUGUUUUCAUAUUGGUGGUGCUACCUGCUUAGAAGGCCGGUCAGGGUCUUGGUGUUCUAAAUCAUCCUAAUUGAUGGGUGUCGGAUGUGUUAGUAUUAUCAUAGGUGCUCUGAGAUUUGUCUCCAAAUAAAUAAAGCUUUAAUUUAUAAGCAUGGAC